GCCAUUUAAUCAUGUCGCUUGGUGUAGUUUUCUUUGUACAUAUUCUUCUUGAGGUUUAGUGAACUUUAUAGAUGAUGUAUGAGCUUAAAACUUCAUCACAUUAAUUGGCAAAGAAAUUGCAAUUGGAAUUGACAAGCCCAGAGAAUUUCAGUGAAAAGAAUGAAACCGUGGACAGAAGAAGCAGGGUGCCAGCAAAUGUAUGCAAAGGAUAUAAAGGCAAGGAAUUAAAAGUUAUAAAGGUAAGGAAGCAAGGCUCAUGCUAGCUGGGAGGGAGUUCUGAGUAGGUGACCGCAAGGGCUCUUUGACUACAGGUUUUUAAGGGGUUUAGAGAGAAGCUCAGGCUGUUGUGUAAGCAAUAUAAUUUCUACCCUAUAGGAGACUAUGUAUUUUUUAGGAUCCAGUCUGUGCGGUGUUCAGCCAUGUCCAC
rnacentral:lncRNA from 1 species